CAGGGAGACAACAAUUGAUCAUGAUGUUCUGAGUAAAUUACUAUUCUUAGACCAUGAUCCUGUCACCUUAGGUCGAUCGGUACCUCGAUAUCGAUUCAUAAGACUGGAUAGAUUAAUCAAUCUAGUCUUUGUUUCUUAUUCAGUUCCUAAACUUGUCUAGGUCACACCCAACAAGGGUACUCCUGGGCCAUUAGCUCAGGUGGUUAGAGCGCACCCCUGAUAAGGGUGAGGUCCCUGGUUCAAGUCCAGGAUGGCCCAUUCGGUGUUGGGGGUAUAGCUCAGUUGGUAGAGCGCCUGCUUUGCAAGCAGGAUGUCAGGAGUUCGAGUCUCCUAACCUCCACUGACCGAACUUAAUCUCCAUCUUCUGAACAGUGGAAGGUGAACUCGUAGGUGUGUGAUUUAGAUGUGUCCGCUGGCAUGAACUCAGCUUCCUGUCAUUCCAAAUGAUGAGUGUUUGCUCUGAAUUUGGUUGAUAAGAUGCUGGGCUCGAACUGAGCGAUCAGUUUGAUGUCUAGCAGAACCUUGACAACUGCAUAGGUGAGUCUGGAAAGAAUAAAGCAUCUCUCAUGGAUGCAUCAUUCUUUGAUGAAUGAUGUCAAUUCUUGAGCAAGAGCCGAGACUCCAUCACGUUCUUCUGAUUGUGUCGAGCAAUCAGGAGUUUGAUUAUUGAUUUAGCAAUAAAUCAGUGAGAAUCCGUUUCAACGACGGCAAGCGUGUUGGAGAUUAUAU
rnacentral:tRNA from 1 species